rnacentral:rRNA from 1 species
GCUACAGGCUUAACACAUGCAAGUCGAGGGGCAGCAUCAUCAAAGCUUGCUUUGAUGGAUGGCGACCGGCGCACGGGUGAGUAACACGUAUCCAACCUGCCGACAACACUGGGAUAGCCUUUCGAAAGAAAGAUUAAUACCGGAUGGCAUAGUUUUCCCCGCAUGGGAUGACUAUUAAAGAAUUUCGGUUGUCGAUGGGGAUGCGUUCCAUUAGGCAGUUGGCGGGGUAACGGCCCACCAAACCGACGAUGGAUAGGGGUUCUGAGAGGAAGGUCCCCCACAUUGGAACUGAGACACGGUCCAAACUCCUACGGGAGGCAGCAGUGAGGAAUAUUGGUCAAUGGACGAGAGUCUGAACCAGCCAAGUAGCGUGAAGGAUGACUGCCCUAUGGGUUGUAAACUUCUUUUAUACGGGAAUAAAGUUAGCCACGUGUGGCUUUUUGUAUGUACCGUAUGAAUAAGGAUCGGCUAACUCCGUGCCAGCAGCCGCGGUAAUACGGAGGAUCCGAGCGUUAUCCGGAUUUAUUGGGUUUAAAGGGAGCGUAGGCGGGUUGUUAAGUCAGUUGUGAAAGUUUGCGGCUCAACCGUAAAAUUGCAGUUGAUACUGGCGACCUUGAGUGCAACAGAGGUAGGCGGAAUUCGUGGUGUAGCGGUGAAAUGCUUAGAUAUCACGAAGAACUCCGAUUGCGAAGGCAGCUUACUGGAUUGUAACUGACGCUGAUGCUCGAAAGUGUGGGUAUCAAACAGGAUUAGAUACCCUGGUAGUCCACACAGUAAACGAUGAAUACUCGCUGUUGGCGAUAUACAGUCAGCGGCCAAGCGAAAGCAUUAAGUAUUCCACCUGGGGAGUACGCCGGCAACGGUGAAACUCAAAGGAAUUGACGGGGGCCCGCACAAGCGGAGGAACAUGUGGUUUAAUUCGAUGAUACGCGAGGAACCUUACCCGGGCUUAAAUUGCAACUGACUGAACCGGAAACGGUUCUUUCUUCGGACAGUUGUGAAGGUGCUGCAUGGUUGUCGUCAGCUCGUGCCGUGAGGUGUCGGCUUAAGUGCCAUAACGAGCGCAACCCUUAUCGAUAGUUACUAGCAGGUCAUGCUGAGGACUCUAUUGAGACUGCCGUCGUAAGAUGUGAGGAAGGUGGGGAUGACGUCAAAUCAGCACGGCCCUUACGUCCGGGGCUACACACGUGUUACAAUGGGGGGUACAGAAGGCAGCUACACGGCGACGUGGUGCUAAUCCCGAAAGCCUCUCUCAGUUCGGAUUGGAGUCUGCAACCCGACUCCACGAAGCUGGAUUCGCUAGUAAUCGCGCAUCAGCCACGGCGCGGUGAAUACGUUCCCGGGCCUUGUACACACCGCCCGUCAAGCCAUGAAAGCCGGGGGUACCUGAAGUACGUAACCGCAAGGAGCGUCCUAGGGUAAAACUGGUGAUUGG